rnacentral:lncRNA from 1 species
GCCUAUCCAGGAAGCUUCUCCUCCUCUUCCAGGCAACUUUUCAUUAUUGCUUAAAAAUUCCCCUCCCCACUGCCCCACCUGGUGCUGACUCAGCUCCUGUCAGUAUCUGAAUGCCAGGAACCAGCCUGAGGGCGGACACUGCCACCUUCUCCUGUGUCCUAGGACACCCAGAGUUCCCAGAGACUGACAAUGAUGCCAUCCACCACUCCAGGACCCCAGCCCCUGCCAAUCUCAGCGAGCAUGGCCCCAAGUCCUGACUGGCAUCACACGUGAGCUUGGCAGGUUCCAGAAAGCUCUCUUCAUGGCAAGAAAAGCUAGGGUGGGGUACCCUGUGGGAGCUGUUGGUAGGGGCUCCUAUCAGAAGGCCCCAGGGCCUGCCAUCUCAGAGGACAAGGAGGACACACGUGGUCUCAAUGCUAUGCACAGAAUGAGGCCAUGGAGGUUAGCUUGCUUCUGCCCACUUCUGCCCUUGCCAGCGAGUCAAAGGAGAUCAGGACUGGAAUGAGGAAAUGGCUCCAUCUGUCCUCUCCCCUGCAAAGAGCUGGAAAGCUUGCUCUACUGGAUCCAGUCAUUUAUUCAGAGUCACGCUCUGUUACCCAAGCUGGAGUAUAGCGGCACAGUCUCAACUCACUGCAACCUCUGCCUCCUAGGUUCAAGCGAUUCUCCUGCCUCG